GGUUCGGAACAACCCUGGGAAAGUAGGGUUAAUACCGGAUACGCCCUUUUGGGGAAAGGUUUACUGCCGGAAGAUCGGCCCGCGUCUGAUUAGAUAGUUGGUGGGGUAACGGCCUACCAAGGCGACGAUCAGUAGCUGGUCUGAGAGGAUGAUCAGCCACUCUGGGGGUGAGACACCGGCCCAGACUCCUACGGGAGGCAGCAGUGGGGAAUAUUGAAAAGUGGGCGCAAGCCUGAUCCAUCCCAUGCCGCGUGA
rnacentral:rRNA from 1 species